UCUCCCAACCCGCGAUGCGAGCGGCUGCGUGACGCGCCGCCGCUUCGCAGUUUAAAUCGUGCCGCGAUGCAAGAUCCAGCUUAUGACUAACCCGUAUGGGUUCGAAACUAGCCGGGCGUACUCUGACGUUGCAUUACCUUUUCUAUGGGCCUCAUUAGAAGGCUCAAAGUCACUCAGCGGGUGAUGGAGCGAGCUAUGCUUGGAGUUUCUCUGCGUGAUCGAAUCAGAAAUGAGGAGAUCCGCAGACUAACCAAAGUCACAUAGCUCAGCGAAUCGCGAAGCUGAAGUGGCAAUGGGCGGGUCACAUAGUUCGAAGAGAGGACGUUGGAGUCCCAAGAUGCUGGAAUGGCGACCCGCACAGGAAAGCGCAGUGUUGGUUGACCCUCCACUAGGUGGACCGAGGAUAUCAAGCGGGUUGCAGGGAGCCCCUGGAUGCUGGCGGCUUGAGAUCGUUGUGCUUGGAGGUCCAUGCAGGAUGCAUAUGUCCAGCUGUGGAGGUCUAUCGGCUGAUAAGGUACGCUGCGGCUACAGAAUCGAUUUGAAAUGGAAAUGGAUUUUACUCUGGAUAGAUUCUUUGACGGCCUCAGUGGCGCAAUGGUGAGCGCGGUGGAUUUACAAGAUGGAGGAAUUGAGUUCCAUCCCCGGCUGGGCCGAUUGAGGUUUUCUUAAUUGGUCCAGGUCUAGCUGGUGGGAGGCUUUCGGCCGUGGCUAGUUACCACCCUACCGACAAAGACGUAUAGCCAAGCGAUUUAGCGUUCCGAUACGAUGUCAUGUAGAAACAGAAAGGGGUGUGGAUUUUCAUCCUCCACCACUUACUAUCAGGUGAGAUUGUAGUCGAAGGUCGUGAUGGCUUCUGAUGUGCCGCAUACAAAAUGUAUGAUACCGAUUCUGUUCAGAUGCGUCACGGCACGACACGUCAGACAAAUAUGAAUCUGGCUUAAAAAACCGAUCUAAAUGGAUAAUAUACUCUGUAACACAUGACACAAUAUAGAGAUAUCUUGACCUACCCAAUUACAACUAACCUAAAUUAAUUAAUAUAUUGCCUCUAACGACAGAGAAUAAUAUCAAUUACAAGAGGCUUAUAGAGCUUACAUUCAUGAUUCUGUAGAUGAAAUUAAUCCACAAAAUAUCCUGCGAGCAAUAUAAGAUAUAUGUGGAAUAUUAUACUAAACUUCGUUAUUUUAAAUCUAACGUACGUGUAUCUUUAUGUAUUAUAAUAUAAGUUUCUCCGUCAGUCUGUCUGUUCACUCUUAACUGAAAAAGUACUGAACGGAUGUGUUAAGUGCUUGUAUAGUAUACUAUGCCUACUUGAAAUAAAUGAAUUUUGAAUUAUGAGUUUUGAAUUGUGUGUGUGUUAGUUACAAUAAAUCCAAAAAACUUAAUAAAAUAUACAAUGUCUCAUCUUAUUGUAAGUACCUAAUUGUCGAGUUUAUUCACACAAAUAUUUCUAUUGUUAAAUAUUUUACUGGCAGUAAAAUCCGGAAUAUUAAAUAGAAUUAGUGAAAUCACACGCUGUUAACCUUCUAAACUUAACCUUCUUUACUGUUGAAAAUGUUCCCAAUUUUGCUAAUG